UACGUAGGGUGCGAGCGUUAAUCGGAAUUACUGGGCGUAAAGCGUUCGCAGGCGGUUUUGUAAGCCAGAUGUGAAAGCCCCGGGCUUAACCUGGGAAUGGCAUUUGGGACUGCAAGGCUUGAGUGCGGCAGAGGAGACUGGAAUUCCUGGUGUAGCAGUGAAAUGCGUAGAUAUCAGGAGGAAUACCGAUGGCGAAGGCAGGUCUCUGGGCUGACACUGACGCUCAUGCACGAAAGCGUGGGGAGCAAACAGG
rnacentral:rRNA from 1 species